ensembl:lncRNA
UACUUAUAGAGUAAGGUUGUUCUCAGAGCCAGAAAUAAUGUACUUUAAAUGCCUGUCACACAGCAGGCAUUCUCUACGUUGAGAUUAGAAACUGUCCAAGAAACCGUGAUCACCUAGCAUGCUCACCAAUUCCUUCUGAAGAAAGCAUCAGUAAACAACUUCCUAGAUGACCUGGUAACACUCGAUUGCAUUCUGAAUGGCUGCUGCAGGCUUCAUGUACCAUUCUACAUUUGGUCAGCUCCUAUGCCUCAGAUCUUAACAGUGCCUCCUCAGAUACAGCACAGCUGCCCCGAUUCCUCUCUCAAGAAUCUGAAAAGAUCUCCAGAAAGAAGGUUCUCCUACCAGCCCGUGCCUCUUCUCUUCCUACUCAGCCAAGAAAUGCUAGUUCUGCCUGCUGGAGCAAAAGUAAACCAACUGAAUAAUGCCUCUUUCACCAACGAAAUUAAAUAAGAUUAAGUUCUUCUUUUUGGAAGCAGUACAGAGUCUCCAACCCAUGAGAAAGGAUGCCACAACCAGGUGGAAUCGUUGCCAUCCAUAAACAACCAGCACAUCCAAACUGAUGUGAGGAAUAGAAUGUCACUGCUGUGUGGAAGCAGGGCUCAGAGUCCCAGCUGCCAGAGCCCUAGCUCCGGUCUUUGCAGAUCCCAUAUGGUGUAAACUGUUUGAGCUUCAGCUGCUGCCCACUGUUCUCACUUUAUGUUUCUCUCUCUGUGUCUAUCAUCUGUGAAUAUUCCACUGUAUGUUCCAA